rnacentral:rRNA from 1 species
GUCGGGAAUUUUGGGCAAUGGGCGAAAGCCUGACCCAGCAACGCCGCGUGAAGGAUGAAGUCCCUCGGGAUGUAAACUUCGAAAGAAUAGGAAGAAUCAAUGACGGUACUAUUUUUAAGCCCCGGCUAACUCCGUGCCAGCAGCCGCGGUAAUACGGAGGGGGCAAGCGUUGUUCGGAUUUACUGGGCGUAAAGCGUAUGUAGGCGGUUUGGUAAGUUACUUGUGAAAUCUCCGAGCUUAACUCGGAACUGCCAAGUAAUACUGCGAAACUAGAGUGCAGAAGGGGCAAUUGGAAUUCUUGGUGUAGCGGUGAAAUGCGUAGAUAUCAAGAGGAACACCAGAGGCGAAGGCGAAUUGCUGGGCUGACACUGACGCUGAGAUACGAAAGCUAGGGGAGCAAACAGGAUUAGAUACCCUGGUAGUCCUAGCCUUAAACGAUGGAUGCUUGGUGUCUGGAGUUACAGUCUCCGGGUGCCGUCGCUAACGCUUUUAGCAUCCCGCCUGGGGAGUACGCACGCAAGUG